AGGCCCCUUCUGAUCAAAUAUGUACCGGUCAAACCAUACCCGACUGGAUUGAAGGUCGUGGCCACACCAAGUGGUAUGGUCUUAGAUGUUGUGGUUUACCAAGGUUCUUUACAACUGUAAAUC